rnacentral:tRNA from 1 species
AGUAAAGUGGCCGAGAGUAGGCAAAAGAUUGUAGCUCUUUCCACGGGCCAUCCCCUUUACAA